GGUGAAGUGGUGCAAGCCUGAAGCCUGUAGCUCCAGCCUCUAGGGCGGCAGAGGCAGAUGGGUUAAGACUAGCCUGAUCUACACAGUGAGUUCGUGAGUUCCAGGUCAACCAGGGUUAUACCGUGAGAGCCUCUCUGGGGUGGAGGUAGAGAAAAGAAAGAUUAUGAGUUUAAAAGUUCACUUUUACCACUUGUAGUUUUCAACUUAAAGUUUUACCCUUAAAGUUUCAACUCCAAAUUAAGUAGUGGUCUACUGUACCCAGUGACAGGUGAGCCCGGGAAGCAUGCAGUCAAGAAUGCGGUGAACCCUGAAAAUAUCCAUAAGCGGAGAAAGGCUUGGAUUCCGUGUAUUAAAUUAUAAAGCCAAGGGAAGGUUAGUGAAAAUAGGCUGGAUGGCUGUCACCGUUGACCCCACAUGAACUAGCCUAGAGUGCUGGCCAAGAGGCUGAUGAAGAGAUGGAAAGCCACACAAGAGUCACCAAAGGCCACCCGCACAUGUGGAGGAACACAGGCAAUGGCCACAGUGGGCUGACUCGUGUACAGAAACCUCUAGCCUUUGCCAUUUGCAAUUAGAGAGGCUGCUAUCCAAGCCCCCAUUCCUCCUCACCCUCAGCUCCGUGUUAGCCAGGGGAGCCCUGGACAGCCAUGGCUCUGCCUUCCCUCAGAGGAAGCCAAUUUGCACUACAAAUACAGUUGGGGAAACAGGAAAGGGAGGGUUCCAUGUCUACAGACACAAGAACUGAGAUGUUCACUCUUUUACUAAAGAAAGCCAGUCUGUCCGUCUUUGUCUUUCCUCCCCUCUCUCUGUCUCUUUCUCUUGCCCUCCCUCUCCAUUUGCAGACAGCCAAAGUCUCCCAGAUCACCCACACAGAAGGAUGGAUGGGGGCCAAUCUGCCUCUGAAGGAGCAGGCCAAGCUCUCCACUUUUAGGCUCUUUCCUGCCCCUCCUCACCCCCAGUACAGUUUAGUAGAUGCCAAUUCCCAAGUGAUACAUGCAAACUCAUACAUGGAGGCUGAUUAGCAUAGUCUCUGCAGAUAGGUGAGAUGGAGAACGGAGGAAAAGUCCAUGGAGUUCAGUUACAAGUCCGUCGUCAUUGUUGCUGGGGACACUGGGGUUCGGUUCCAAAUAUGUAAAAUGCUUACUUGUGUAGGCACAGUUUUCAGCAAUAACCAAGGUCUGGACAGGGGAGCAUGAUUUCCGAGGUCCUGGAAAUCGACUGCAUUAACAGUUACCCCUUUCCCCACACACAAACACACGAAGGCAGCAGCAGCCUCCUCUUCCUCGGGGCUCCAGAAACGUGAAGAGCUACAGAAAACCUUGGCUCUGCCCAGUGAGUCAGCCUUGUCUAACUCGGUGGUGCGUAAGCUCUCGAGUCAGCGACAGCUCGGAGCAGCGGGGCUGUGUGCAGCAGAGAUAAAUUUGGGUCUGGAGGAAUGACGUAAUGCUAAACCCGAGAGGUGGCUGCCGUCUCCCAGGGCUCCAGUCGCCAGGGCUGCCGGCUGACUUCCCAACCACAUGGAAACGCACCAGGCGACCCAGGAGCUCUACUCGGGACAGUAGGAGGUUGGGCCUACCAUGUCCGACAGGAACCAGGUGGCCCUCACUGUCCCACUGUCCGGAGGCAACUGGGACUUGAAGCUCAUCUCAGAAAUUCACCCUGCCUUUCUCCUUCGCCUUCUCUGUGGAGAAGAGCAAGCCUUGGCGCCUAGCACCAGCCAGCCCAGUUGUCUUACAAGCUGGGGCGUCCCAGGAAGUCUUGGAGUCUGACAGGGUGUGGAUGCACAUCCCUGACAGCAGCCUGUAGCACCACAGGUGCCCUACUGGUCGGGUGAGUUUCUCAGAGGGUGCCAGCAAGGUGGCAUAAGCAAGCAAGCAAAACUACCCCAGACUGUGAGUCUCCAGGGAAUGGCUUCUGUGUCAAUGCUGGGAAAAAACCUGGAAGCUUCUGGCUGCUUCUCUCCAUUCUAGGAUGAAUGGGGAGAAAAGGAAGUCACUCAAGGGAAAUCUCUUCCCGGAGCCUUCAACCUGUACUGCAAACAUUCCAGACUCCAUUUCUUGACACUUGUUAACUCCGAGCUCCCUGAGGUUCCUCACAAACCCCUAAGGAAGAACAGUGGGUUUAAGUGCCAGACCCACUACUGUUAGCAUGUGGGCUUGGAAGAGCUGGAACUACAAAAAUGAAGGUAAUUACAGUGCCCGCUCACUGGAGGUUUUCGGGGAUUUACUACAGAGUGCCUAGCAUUGUGCUGGCACACAGUAAACGCCAGUAAAGGGAGGCAUUACCACCAUUCCUCCAGAGAACAGGGAGGAGACCACACUUGUCAACAGCUCUCUUGGGGACUGGGUAUCAGACUCCCAGGAGACAGACUAGAAUUGGGUAUUGGUUUCUAUUUGGCUGAUAUUUGAACUGGAAUAUGCACCUGACCUAGAGAUCAGAGCAUCAAACACAGAGUUUGGCUCCUGGCCACCUUAUGUAUUUCUUUCUGCAUGAUGCUAAAUUUCAUGGCUGUCCAAAAGGAUGAAGGAAAGUUGUACCCAAGGCACUCAGAACUUAAGGGACUAGGAAACAUGGAAGGGACGAUCAGGCUGCUGUGGGAGCCAUUCUGUAGCUCUGGCCCCUGUAGAGAUAAAACCAAGGACAACACUGGCUCCUGUUUGCCACCCAUGGCUGGAAGUUACAUAGCCUGGGCCUGCCCUCUACUUCAAUACAAUAGCCUGUCUAUUAGAACUCCCAAGCCAUCUUCAUUCCUGUGACCCUGUAACGACAAUAAAUAUACAAAGUAAAACAUUUCAAAUA